AGUUCCAAUAGCGUAUAUUAAAGUUGUUGCAGUUAAAAAGCUCGUAGUUGGAUUUCUGGCAGGAGCGACCGGUCACACACUCUGUGUGUGAACUUGUGUUGUCUCUGGCCAUCCUUGGGAAGAUCCUGUUUGGCAUUGAGUUGUCGGGCAGGGGAUAUCCAUCGUUUACUAUAAAAAAAUAGAGUGUUUAAACCAGGCUUAUGCCGUUGUAUAUUAGCAUGGAAUAAUAAGAUAGGACUUUGGAACUAUUUUGUAGGUUUGCGUUACGAAGUAAUUAUUAAUAGGGACAGUUGGGGGUAUUUGUAUUUCGUUGUCAGAGGUGAAAUUCUUGGAUUUCUGAAAGACGAACUAAGUACUGCGAAAGCAUUUACCAAGGAUGUUUUCA
rnacentral:rRNA from 1 species